AUGGGGCGGCUGUGGGGUGCUGGUACUGGCCCAGUAUGGGGCAACUGGUGUGGGGGGGUCCAGUACUGGUACCAGUUGCAAUACUGGUACUGGUCCUACAGAGGCGGCUAUGUGGUGGCGUGCCAAAUCCGCGGCCCCCGGGGGGUCCCCAUCCCACCUCUGACCUGGUUGAAGAACGGCCUCCCCCUCCACCAAGGGGUGACCACCGAAGGGCCGGUGGCCGACGGGCAAGGAGCUUCCGUCACCUCCAGCCGGGCCACCGUCACCGAAGCCGAGUGGGACGCCGGCACCGUCUACACCUGCCAAGCGGGCGAGGAGUUGAGGAACACCAGUAAAGCGCUGGAGUGCGGCUAUGACCGGCCGGAUGGCGGAGAGGAGAUCGCGGUGCGGGUGGUGCCGCCGGUCUUCGCCGACAUCUUCAAGGACAAAGUGGCCAAGUUGACGUGCAAAGUGGUCAACCUGCCCAGCGUGGAAGGUUUGGAUGUCUCCUGGUGGAAGGAGACUGGGGAGAGACUGGAGAGCAAGACGUUGCCGCAGGUCCUGCAAGCCAACGGGCUCUUCGGGGUGGAAGGGGUGGCCAGCGUCUGCGCCGACGAGUGGGACAAGGGGGAGGUCUACACCUGUAAGGUCACCCACCCCGAACUCCUCUUCCCCACCGAGGUCAAGCUGCAGAAGACGCCCA